UACGGAGGGUGCAAGCGUUAUCCGGAUUCACUGGGUUUAAAGGGUGCGUAGGAGAGCAGGGAAGUCAGUGGUGAAAUCUCCGGGCUUAACUCGGAAACUGCCGUUGAUACUCUCUGUCUUGAAUCCCGUGGAGGUGAGCGGAAUAUGUCAUGUAGCGGUGAAAUGCUUAGAUAUGACAUAGAACACCAAUUGCGAAGGCAGCUCACUACACGAAGAUUGACUCUGAGGCACGAAAGCGUGGGGAUCAAACAGG
rnacentral:rRNA from 1 species